CCGGACGAAAGGGUAUAUUUUAAUCCUGACCGUUGAUCUUCGGUUGGAUGGCUGGCACGCCUUGGGUUGGAUGGCUAGCAGGCUUUCUCGGAAUGCAGGGUCGUCGUCCAGCCGGAGGUCGCCGGCGUUCGCGGUUUCUCGUUUCCGAGCACCGUUUCAAGAAAGAAAAACACCGCGAAGACGAGCAGCUCACCGCGAAGUCGACUGCGUCCUCGGUUCGGUCCGAAAGGGAGUAGGAGGAGCGCGCGGCGGUGGGGCUUGACUCAACCUCGGCGAGAUCCGAAACUCGCGAUUUAAGAAGAUAGGGCACGGCUUGGACGAUUUGGACGCGAAGAGAGAUGCGGGGCGGCUCAGGGGCUUUAUAGGUGUCUUAUGCGGCAAGUAAUCCCGUCCAAAUCGGGAUUGAUUCGCUCGGAUUUUCUUCGGCGGUGUCCUGCUCAGGUACGCACGUUGGGGAAGAAAAGAACACGCUGACGUGUGGGCCCCAGUGAUCAGUGAGCCAAGGAAGAGAAGAGAGGAGGGGCACGCUGCGGCCUGGAAAGGAGUGGGCCGGGCUGGGGAAACUGGGCCGGGAAGGAAACAGGGAAAGCUGGGCUUCGGCUGGUUUUCCAAGGGGGUUUUCCUUUUUUUUUUUUUUUUUUCAAAGCCAUUUUCAAAACUGUUUUUUUUAAAAAAAACCACUUUGAAUUAUUUUUUAACUUUAGUAAAACCAAUCAUCUCAAUAAAUCAUAUGCACGAGCAUGAAGACACAUCAAUGUUACUAAUCCUAUGAUAAGUUUUAUUUUAACGAAAAGUAUUAUUUUUCUAUGUUUAAUGAGCACAAAAAUACAAAAUUAAAUCAUUUUUCACCUAUUUCAAAAGUUGCAAAUUUUUGGGUGUUACAACAUUGUAUUUACGUAAUAAAAAUAUAGUUAAGUUGGUAUUAAUAAAUUAACAUUCAUUAUAAAAUAGUUGUGUAGAACCUAUAUUAAUUUUAAUUAGAACCUAGUUGCAUAAACAUUAUCCACAUUAUUUUUUAAUUAUAAACACAGAAAUAUGUGACCUAAGUAAUGUGGCUACAAGGCUACAUAUUAUAUUACUACGAACGGAAAGGAAAACGAAGAAACUAGUUUAGAUCUAAAACGAUUAGCUACAAAGGAUUAAAGGUUGAGAGUACGAUGAUCCCAUGUCUAUGUUGAGAUCAGUAAGUCUAUGCGCACAGUGUAAAAUACUAUUUCUUGAAUUGAGAUGUAAAGAAGAAAGAUGAUUUAUUUUGCAAGAAUAACAUAGGCAUGAUAUCAGCAUCAACGCUUAGAUCAAUGAAGAAAUUGACAAGUGUUGGGCAUUCUUAACGUCAUUACUAAAAGUAGACUUAGUUUUCUAAUUCUGAUAACGACGACAAAAAUGCCGAACCUAUCCCUCAUGCCACUUAAGCCAAGUUGUCAUCCCUAGCGUAACAUGAAAGACGCGGUAUUGAAAUAUGCAUUUGCUCAUCAAGAUAAAUAAUAAAAGGGGUGUAACACCCAAAAAAUUUGCUUUCAAAUUAAUAGGAUUUAAUUUGAUUUAAUUAAGCAUUUUCGGUGGGCAUUUAAUCUAGUAAAUAAAAUAUUUUUUUGUCGAAAUUAAAAUUCAUCAUAGGUUUAGCAAAGUUGAUUAUUGCAUUCAUGCUGGAGCA
rnacentral:lncRNA from 1 species